rnacentral:tRNA from 2 species
GGGUCUGUAGCUCAGCUGGUUAGAGCACUGUGUUGAUAACGCAGGGUCGUUGGUUCGAGCCCAACUAGACCCACCA